UGCAAGUCGAACGAAGACCCGGAGCUUGCUCCGGAUAUCUUAGUGGCGAACGGGUGAGCAACGCGUGGGAAUCUACCUUAAGGUGGGGAAUAACUAUUGGAAACGAUAGCUAAUACCGCAUAAUCCCUCAGGGGCAAAGGCUUCGGCCGCUUUUAGAUGAGCCCGCGUUAGAUUAGGCUGUUGGUGAGGUAAUGGCUCACCAAACCUGUAAUCUAUAGCUGGUCUGAGAGGACGAUCAGCCACACUGGGACUGAGACACGGCCCAGACUCCUACGGGAGGCAGCAGUGGGGAAUAUUGGACAAUGGGGGAAACCCUGAUCCAGCAGUGCCGCGUGAGUGAUGAAGGCCCUAGGGUUGUAAAACUCUUUCAGAAGUGAAGAUGAUGACGGUAACUUCAGAAGAAGCUCCGGCUAACUCCGUGCCAGCAGCCGCGGUAAUACGGAGGGAGCUAGCGUUGUUCGGAAUUACUGGGCGUAAAGAGCGUGUAGGCUGUUAGGUAAGUCAGAGGUGAAAUCCCUAAGCUCAACUUAGGAACUGCCUUUGAUACGAUCUUACUAGAGAUCGAGAAAAGUUAGCGGAAUUCCAAGUGUAGAGGUGAAAUUCGUAGAUAUUUGGAGGAACACCAGUGGCGAAAGCGGCUAACUGGCUCGUAUCUGACGCUGAGACGCGAAAGCGUGGGUAGCAAACCGGAUUAGAUACCCUGGUAGUCCACGCCGUAAACGAUGUGUGCUAGCGUUUGUGAUUUAUCGCAAGUGGUGCAGCUAACGCGUUAAGCACACCGCC
rnacentral:rRNA from 1 species